rnacentral:rRNA from 1 species
GGCUCAGGAUGAACGCUGGCGGCGUGCCUAAUACAUGCAAGUCGAGCGAACAGAUAAGGAGCUUGCUCCUUUGACGUUAGCGGCGGACGGGUGAGUAACACGUGGGUAACCUACCUAUAAGACUGGGAUAACUUCGGGAAACCGGAGCUAAUACCGGAUAAUAUUUCGAACCGCAUGGUUCGAUAGUGAAAGAUGGUUUUGCUAUCACUUAUAGAUGGACCCGCGCCGUAUUAGCUAGUUGGUAAGGUAACGGCUUACCAAGGCAACGAUACGUAGCCGACCUGAGAGGGUGAUCGGCCACACUGGAACUGAGACACGGUCCAGACUCCUACGGGAGGCAGCAGUAGGGAAUCUUCCGCAAUGGGCGAAAGCCUGACGGAGCAACGCCGCGUGAGUGAUGAAGGUCUUCGGAUCGUAAAACUCUGUUAUUAGGGAAGAACAUACGUGUAAGUAACUAUGCACGUCUUGACGGUACCUAAUCAGAAAGCCACGGCUAACUACGUGCCAGCAGCCGC